ACUAGAAUAGUUUAAAUAAAACAUUAGUCUUGUAAACUAAAAUUGAACUUUCUUCUAGUA
rnacentral:tRNA from 1 species